UACGUAGGGGGCGAGCGUUGUCCGGAUUUAUUGGGCGUAAAGAGCGUGUAGGCGGUUCGGCAAGUCUGUCGUGAAAUCCUGAGGCUCAACCUCGGACGUGCGAUGGAUACUGCCGGGCUAGAGGAUGGUAGAGGCGAGUGGAAUUCCCGGUGUAGCGGUGAAAUGCGCAGAUAUCGGGAGGAACACCAGUAGCGAAGGCGGCUCGCUGGGCCAUUCCUGACGCUGAGGUGCGAAAGCGUGGGGAGCAAACAGG
rnacentral:rRNA from 1 species